GAUGAACACUAGCGGCAGGCCUAACACAUGCAAGUCGAGGGGCAGCACAGAAACAGCAAUGUUUUGGUGGCGACCGGCGGACGGGUGCGUAACGCGUAUGCAACCUACCUUUAACAGGGGGAUAACGGAGAGAAAUUUCCACUAAUACCCCAUAACAUCGAUCAAGGCAUCUUGAUUGGUUGAAAACUCCGGUGGUUAAAGAUGGGCAUGCGUUGUAUUAGGUAGUUGGUGAGGUAAUGGCUCACCAAGCCUACGAUACAUAGGGGGACUGAGAGGUUAGCCCCCCCCACGCGGGUACUGAGACACGGACGAGACCGCUACGGGAGGCAGCAGUGAGGAAUAUUGGUCAAUGGGGGCAACCCUGAACCAGCCAUGCCGCGUGCAGGAAGACGGCUCUAUGAGUUGUAAACUGCUUUUAAACAGGGAUAAAGCACAGUAUGUAUACUGUGUUGAAGGUACUGUAAGAAUAAGGAUCGGCUAACUCCGUGCCAGCCGCCGCAGUAA
rnacentral:rRNA from 1 species